CUUGAGAGGGCCGGCUAAAGGAGGAGCCCUGAGUAGCGGUUCAGGACCGAUGGCGGCGCGGGGCGGGGCCGAGGUGGUGGCGACGUGGAGGCAGAGUUCCGGCGUGCGGCGGCGGCUGCUGCAAAGGGAGCCCUCGCCUGGGCUCUGCAGCGAUGACGCGCGUCCCCUCCGGCCUGGCCCUUCGCGCGCACCGCCCCCAGCGGCCUGGGCGGCCCAGUCACCCCGAACUCCUCUCCUUCUGGGGAGCUUAAAGUACGGGGUAGAGAUAGAGCCCGUGACAUUUGACCAACUGGUGGGAACAGCCGCCCAUUCUAUAGUGUGCAACCUGUUCGAAUAAAUGCUCAACUUCCAGCUGCAUUACGGUUUUAAGUUUUGAAAACAUAGCGUGGCUUUGAAUGAUCUAGAGACCGUUUUUUUCUUUUGAAAUUCACCCUUUCACGUUAAUAUUUCUUAACACGCACCAGACGCCAGGACCUACGCUUCCCUAGGGAUGCCCUCGGAAAGGCACCCGAGGGGGGAAAGGCUCUUGAAUGAAGUGGAGAUGAAAAAUGAACAUGCAUGUUAAUUGAGUUGUUAAAUCUGUUAGAUGGUGUAAUAGGUAUUUAACCCGUUGCAUACUAGUCUAGAAUUUGUAGAGAAAAUAUAUUCGUAUCUCACGUGUUUGCUAUAUUGUGGUAAAGAUAGCAUCCGGAAACAGUAGCCAAAUUAUAACAAGUAGAAAUGGUCAUAAAUGAGGGUUGAAAUUGGUGUCUGAAACCCAGACCUGAGUCCUCACGAUUAAAUGAAUUUAGGAGAGUUUAGGUCUUAAAUACUAAGUUGAUUCUUACUGAAUACAGAACAAUUUAAAAUUAAUUACUAGCCGUCUAGCAUCUUCAUCAUCAUCAUCAUUAUUUGAACUGAAAGACUGCUACUUUUACCCAAAAGAGUAAUUAUCGACCAAAGAAUAGUCAAAAUUAAAUACAAGACUUAAUGAAGUAGAAUAUCUAAUGGAAAUAAUAGAAGCUGUCGGACCUCAUUUUAAAUCUCCACUGCUAAACACAAACUUAGAAAAACUUGAGUCAGUUCCAUAUCUUUAAGUUUGGAUUUGCUUAUCUAUAUGAUGCUGGCUUUUCUUUUGUUAUUUUGUUUUGCUAAAGGCUAAAAUUUUUGAAAGGUCAGUUUUCAUUACCUUACCAAAUGAUUCUUUAAUCUUUAACUGCUUUUACUGUUUUUUGAGAUAAGAUCUAAUCCAGGUUAACUUUGAACUUACUAUCUCCCCACCUUAUCCUCCAAAGUUUAGGGUUUAGAGGAAUACGUUGGCUCUCCACUAGAGCCAGUUUUACUACAAACUCUUAAGACCCUGAGUGCAUGUCGUCUUUUUAAAUUAUUCAGGUGUUCACUAAAAUGUGUUUCAUGGAACAUGCAGUAUUUCUUUGCAAAAAGGUCCCUCAUGAAGAAAAUUGCUAGAAUUAUCAGUACAGGGGUUGAUAUGAGCCUGUCUCUGAGAGGCUAGGAGAAAUAUGCUUAGUAGCAUUUGUUCCAAAUGUUUAGUCUGAAUAUCAUCAUGAGGAGGCAUUGAGACAAAUUCGCAAGGUGAUUUAUUUAACUUCUCAGUAACCUCAAUAUCGUGAAAUACAAACAACAACAACAGAGAACUGAUAGGUGUUUAAAGUAGCUAUGACUAUUCUGGUUAGGACUUAGGAUUUUUAAAAUUUGAACAGGGGAACAUAACAUUAUUGACUUAAAUUUCUCAAGAAUGAUACUGAUGGUAGAAUGUUCCUUUUGUUCUUUGAGGAUGUAUAUUUAAGUAUUUAGAAGUGAGGUCAUGAUGUCUGCAAAUAUCCAGACCCUCCUCCCCAAAAAAGGGUGUGAAGAGAGAGAAAAUAGGGCACUAUUUUAACAAUUGUAGUUCAGAUGACUACCAAAUGAGAAUUUUUAACUCUUCUGUAAAUCUGGAGUCUUUCCAAAUAAAUUGGAAACAAAUUGUAUCUGGCAAUUAUUUUUUUAAAAUACCAUGCUUCUAAGAAAAUCCAAGAUACAUUUAUAUGUUUUUUUUACACUUACGUGCUGAAAAACUACUAGUCUGCACACUAACACCUAUUAAUUAGCCGAAGAAAUCCUGUGUAUUCUUUAAUGAUCACUUCUCAGCACGGUGGAUGUUGCAGUAGAAGUUUAAUAGUAAUGAAUUAUAAUCUGUCAAUGUCUCGCAGAUUUUUAAUGUUUAUUCAUUUUAGCAAUUAUUUAUGGAAUACCUGUUAUGUGACUGACCCUACACAGGUUCCAGGAUCUCCAGAGGAUACCAAAGUCUGAGAGCACACAAGUCACUUAUAUAAGAUGGCAUGAUAUUUGCAUGUACUUGCAUGUAUGUUCCUGUAUGCUUCAUGUCAUCCGGAAUACAAUGUAAAUGCUGUGUAAACACUAUAUUUAGGGAAUUGUGACCAAAAAUGCAUACAUGUCCAGUAGACAGAUACAAUUUUGGGAUAUAGGCCUGCAGUACUAGAUUCUAGAAAUACGUUAUAGCAGUACAGAUAUACAUUUGUUAGAAGUAAAUAAGCAUAUAUAUAUCUCAAAUAGUAGUUGUGCUAUGUGGAAUAAUAAGCCAAACGUCAAGGGUAGAGAGUUUCAGUAAAGAGUGGACAUAUGCUGUUCUAUACGGUGAAUUAAGAAGGCCUGGAGAAGGAGCAAACCCCUGAAGAAGGGAGGGAGGGAGUUGGGACUGUCCAGGAAAGCGCACACUAAAAAGUGGGGCCGCAAGUGCCCAGGUUCCCAGCUGAGACCAGAGAGUGUCACAGGCAGGAGCGAGUGUGCAGUAGGAGAUGAGGGUAGUGAUGUAGCCAAGAAUUAGACUGUGGAUUACAUCCAGAUCUUAAAUUAGGAUGGGAAGUCUCUGAGAGCAAUCCAUCCAGGACUGUGUCACUUUCCAUCUGGACCUGUGAAAGUGAAAAAUGAGUUCUCUGCUUCUACAAUAAAGUGGUAGAACAGGCAGAGAAUGGCAGUUACAGCCAUUUUUGGGCAAAAAGGGAGAAAGUGGAAAAAAAGUUAUGGGUCCCAGUUUCCAAAUCCAACCUGGAGUCUCCAUUAAAUGUCAAGGCUGAGGCGUAAUGCUAGGUGGUUCUUGGCUUUACUGUGGGCUCAUAGCCCCACCCUCUGUUCAGUAAGAAUGAGCAUGGAGGUCUUUGAGAGGCCAUUAUUUUGCCUGCCAUAGUCAUUAUAUUUAUUAGAUUUAGUAUUACUGCAUUAGUAAUCAUUUAAUAAUACUUCAAGUAUUCACAUAGUAGUUUUUCAGCACUUAAGCUGAUGCAUUCGUCUCAGUUAAGUGGUUCAUUACUUCUGACCUUUAAACAAAUCCUUGAUCAGUACUUGUGGAGCUCACCAUUUCAAGGAACUUUAUUAUGAAUCACUAAAUAGGAAAUUCAAGUUUGCAAUCUAAUUUCUAUUAGCUGGAAAGAAUGUAGUCUUACAGAUCAGAUUUUCUUAUAGGCACUUUAUUUAUUCUAACGUUACUGAUUUUUUUCCCCGACCCAGAGUACCUGCAGUAUGUUUAAUUUUAUGGGAUAGGGAAAGUUUUACAGCUGCUAAUGUCAUCAUUUCUUUACUUUUUAAGGACAUUAAAACCCAUUUCUGCCUCCCAGCAGGUGGCAGCAAAUCAAUACUCUGUAAGGUACUGUAAAAUUACAGUUUUCUAAUCUUGAUAAGUGUUUGGAUGUUGCAGACUGGCUUAGCAAGAAAAGCAAAAAGAAUACUAGUGUCAAUAAAGGUAGAGGUCAGUAAUUGAGAGCACUUUGGAAAAACCCUAAAUCUCAAUAAUUAAAAGCAUAGAAUUUCCAGAUUUCUGGUCUUAGAAGUUCAAAUUGACAGUGAAGACAUUUUUUGUCCUCUUUUAAGCCAACUGGUUGACAUAGGAAAUAAAGAAAUAAUUAGUGUCACAUUCGAACCAAUUGCAUUAACCUGGCACUGCCCUAAGAUUGGAGUAUGCUGGAAGCCACUGCGGAUGGCUGUUGAGUAUUUCACUGAAACAGUUAUAGCAUAUUUAAAAUUCAUGAAAUUGUUCCCAUUUCUCGCUUUCCUUUCCUCACAGACUGAAAAUACUGAUUGAAAAUCUGGGAACAAAACAGUGGAUAGAGUUGACAAAACAAAAUCUGUUCCUGGACAGUUUUUCAUAAGUUUAAUAAGUACGAAGAUAAUGAACACAGAUUACAUUUGCAUAAUGGCAUAACAGAAAUGUAUUGGACAAUGUAAACUAUAGGGAAACCCAUUUGGAAACUAAAUCAGGAUUCCGAUUCUGGCAAGAUGACUAUUUAAUGAUGAGUAGUUUUAUAGAGGAGAAGGAACAACCUCCUAUGUUUUCCUCUAUAACUGAGUCGCGGUGUCUGUGAUGGUUGAUUGGUUGUGUCAGCUUGAGUAAGAGAAGCUUAACUAAAUUGGCUCAGCAGUUCCACACCCUAGGGUAUGGAAGAUACACCCUCGCCAGGUUGCCACCUGGAUGGUGUGAAGGGGAAAUGGAGAAGGAUGGAGCUUCUUUGGAGGAACCCAGUCUUUGCCAUUGCCAUGGAUGUCGUCACCUGGCUUCCAGCACAGAUCCUUCAGCCUUCUGGGUAGACUCAUCAGCCUUCCAUGGCAGACUCGUCGGCCUCCUGAUAUGUGGCACAGAACACUGCAGUGAGCUCCAGACACUCUUAACUGUAUUCCUUGGUUCCCAGAGUGCAGACACGCUCUGCACUCUUUCAUGUCGGACUCUGGGUGACCAUUGUGAGCCAAUCAUGUAAAUUCGUACAUACUUGUAUAUCUUGUAUUGUAUUUGUUUCUCUAAUAAACACCAACAUAAUACCUUUCA